rnacentral:rRNA from 1 species
GAACGCUGGCGGCGUGCUUAACACAUGCAAGUCGAGCGGAAAGGCCCUUCGGGGUACUCGAGCGGCGAACGGGUGAGUAACACGUGAGUAACCUGCCCCUGACUUCGGGAUAAGCCUGGGAAACCGGGUCUAAUACCGGAUAUGACCACCGCGGGCAUCCGCUGGUGGUGGAAAGUUUUUUCGGUCGGGGAUGGGCUCGCGGCCUAUCAGCUUGUUGGUGGGGUAGUGGCCUACCAAGGCGACGACGGGUAGCCGGCCUGAGAGGGCGACCGGCCACACUGGGACUGAGACACGGCCCAGACUCCUACGGGAGGCAGCAGUGGGGAAUCUUGCGCAAUGGGCGGAAGCCUGACGCAGCGACGCCGCGUGGGGGAUGACGGCCUUCGGGUUGUAAACCUCUUUCAGCAGGGACGAAGUUGACGUGUACCUGUAGAAGAAGCGCCGGCUAACUACGUGCCAGCAGCCGCGGUAAUACGUAGGGCGCGAGCGUUGUCCGGAAUUAUUGGGCGUAAAGAGCUCGUAGGUGGCUU